rnacentral:lncRNA from 1 species
CAGAAGUAAGCAAAAGUGUUUAAUUAUUACGUAAAGGAGAUCUCAUCAAAAUUGAUCGUCAAAUUCGAUCAAGAACGAUAAGUAUUGUCUAUGAUGAAAUCUUUAUUAUAUCAUGUAAUGAUCCAUAUCUUCAUCAGAUAACGAGAACACGUAUUAUUUUAUCACGAUAUUAUCAGAAAUUGAAGUACUUUAUCAGUUCGUGACUGAUCAGGCAUAAUGCUGAUAGAGCAUCUUUCGGCGGAUAAAAUAAUCUAAUUAAAAUCACAAUUUCGUAACUCCGGUUCUUCUUUCUGAUAAGAAUUCUUUCCUUUGGGUUACGUGCAAAAUUAUAUCAAAGAGAAAUAGCUUCUAUAAGAAAUAAGUCAUUAUAGCAAUAGAAAUUUCUGUCAUAUCACUUUUUGUUUUAUGCAGUUGAAUCUUAGAAUAUUUUACACAUUUUAUUUUUACAAACUAGUUAACAACAUAAAUUGUAUUAUUAAAACAUAGUACAAUUUGCAAUAUAUUGUAAAAUUAUAGCCAUUUGUACAGUCUUAUUACAUUCAGUUCUAUUUUAUAGAAAUGCUAUAGAGAACGAGUGAAGCAGAAUAAUAACUUAUCACGCGGGAUUUAGAAUGAGUCACAUACAAACGAAAUAGGACUUUGGAAUAUCAAAUAAUCAGGAGGUUUAUAUCACCAUGCCACAACUUAUCAACACAAGAAUUAUCUUCAUGAAAAACAAGAUGGACAGUGAUGAAGAGAAUUAAUUUGUCCUACAUCGCUUUGAUCGAGAUUGAAUUAGCAAGACUCAAUGGCUGUAUAUUCGAAGCAGGAAAUAAUAGUUUGGGCGACAUCCAAGGGUCUUUUACUGACAAUCAAAACAAACUAUUGCACACGCAUGUAAUCAAGAGCGUUGAAUAAAUCUUUCAUAGAUCCAUGUAUUGUUUAUAAAUAUUGAUUGAACAAGUCGGAGCAAACUUGGCAAGCAUAACAUAUUUCUUUGUUAUAGAAGCUCGCAUUUAUGAUACAUCUACAAUUUGAUCACGUGUAACAUUGCUUCUGCUUUUAAUACAACAGCGAUAAAAGCACACAAGACACGAUACAAGAGACAGUAUUCUGUUACAGCGCUUUGAUCGAGAUUGAAUUAGCAAGACUCAAUGGCUGUAUAUUGUUCGAAGCAGGAAAUAGUUUGGGCGACAUCCAAAGGUCUUUCACUGACAAUCAAAACAAACUAUUGCACACGCAUGUAAUCAAGAGCGUUGAAUAAAUCUUUCAUAGAUCCAUGUAUUGUUUAUAAAUAUUGAUUGAACAAGUCGGAGCAAACUUGGCAAGCAUAACAUAUUUCUUUGUUACAGAAGCUCGCAUUUAUGAUACAUUUACAAUUUGAUCACGUGUAACAUUGCUUCUGCUUUUAAUACAACAGCGAUAAAAGCACACAAGACACGAUACAAGAGACAGUAUUCUGUUACAGCGCUUUGAUCGAGAUUGAAUUAGCAAGACUCAAUGGCUGUAUAUUGUUCGAAGCAGGAAAUAGUUUGGGCGACAUCCAAGGGUCUUUUACUGACAAUCAAAACAAACUAUUGCACACGCAUGUAAUCAAGAGCGUUGAAUAAAUCUUUCAUAGAUCCAUGUAUUGUUUAUAAAUAUUGAUUGAACAAGUCGGAGCAAACUUGGCAAGCAUAACAUAUUUCUUUGUUACAGAAGCUCGCAUUUAUGAUACAUUUACAAUUUGAUCACGUGUAACAUUGCUUCUGCUUUUAAUACAACAGCGAUAAAAGCACACAAGACACGAUACAAGAGACAGUAUUCUGUUACAGCGCUUUGAUCGAGAUUGAAUUAGCAAGACUCAAUGGCUGUAUAUUGUUCGAAGCAGGAAAUAGUUUGGGCGACAUCCAAGGGUCUUUUACUGACAAUCAAAACAAACUAUUGCACACGCAUGUAAUCAAGAGCGUUGAAUAAAUCUUUCAUAGAUCCAUGUAUUGUUUAUAAAUAUUGAUUGAACAAGUCGGAGCAAACUUGGCAAGCAUAACAUAUUUCUUUGUUACAGAAGCUCGCAUUUAUGAUACAUUUACAAUUUGAUCACGUGUAACAUUGCUUCUGCUUUUAAUACAACAGCGAUAAAAGCACACAAGACACGAUACAAGAGACAGUAUUCUGUUACAGCGCUUUGAUCGAGAUUGAAUUAGCAAGACUCAAUGGCUGUAUAUUGUUCGAAGCAGGAAAUAGUUUGGGCGACAUCCAAGGGUCUUUCACUGACCAAUCAAAACAAACUAUUGCACACGCAUGUAAUCAAGAGCGUUGAAUAAAUCUUUCAUAGAUCCA